rnacentral:rRNA from 1 species
GCCUACCAAGGCGACGACGGGUAGCCGGCCUGAGAGGGUGACCGGCCACACUGGGACUGAGACACGGCCCAGACUCCUACGGGAGGCAGCAGUGGGGAAUAUUGCACAAUGGGCGGAAGCCUGAUGCAGCGACGCCGCGUGAGGGAUGACGGCCUUCGGGUUGUAAACCUCUUUCAGCACGGAAGAAGCGAGAGUGACGGUACGUGCAGAAGAAGCGCCGGCUAACUACGUGCCAGCAGCCGCGGUAAUACAAAC